UCUCAACCCAACGGCCGCCGCGCCGCCUCCCUCGUCAUUACUUUCGGCGAUGACAACGGUGCCUCCCGCGCCCGCGUUCUUCCUCCCCAACAAGCAGCUGCUCGCCCCCUCUCCGGUCGCUGUGGAGGAGCCAUCGUGCUCGGGCUGCGGAGAGCAGCAGAGGGCCGCCGCCGGCUCGGCUAGAUCUCCUUCCCUCUCCACUAUGAAGCACCAGCAAAGGAGGAGUCCUCAUCUUUCCACCCCUGCCGCCGCCCGAAACCCUAGCCACACAGCAGCACGCAUGGUGUUGUAGGUCAGAUCCGCAGGAUCCCCUCAAGAGCCUCGGUAUGUAUCCCUCCUUACCUUUUCUUCUUCUUCCUCUGAUGCGUGGGCGUGUGCAGGUCAGAGGAGAAUGAGCCAGAGCAGGUGGAGGAGCAGGCAAACAUCCGGUGACGUCUCUGCUAGCCGGAUUCAGGUUUGUUUCCCUCUCUGUUUAUGUUGUUAACCAUGGCCUGGUCUAUUUAAGGUUCCGGUCACGGGGUUUCUUAUUUCUCUCAUUUUUCCUUUUAAUAACGGGUCCAACUCUACUGAAAACAACACGCACUCUGGGUCAUCUUCACUGUAGCCACUUCAUAGCUUGUGCAGUCACUUUACUCUUGUUGUUUUUAUUAUGCCGUGUCACUUAUUCAUGCCCAACCCCAAGUCUAGCAACAUCACUAGCAUCGUCCCUUUAUUUUUUCCAUGGUGGAAUAUUUGGUUGCUUGGAUUACUUGAUAUAAUAGAUCCUCAUUCUGUUUUUGUGCCAUUGAUGCUUUUAUAUGUUGUUUUGCUCAUGAUUUCCUGCCCUCUGCUGUGUGCUUCAGUGGAUGGUCAGGGCCUAAGUCAAGGCGGCGGUCGACUGCAGCAUGGAGGAGUCAUUGAGCAACUUCGAGCCAAAGGCGGCGGCAUGCGACGACGACCUCAGCCUGCAACAUAAGCUCCCUGACAUGGCAAUAAUCUGUGAAGUAAAUUACUUGGCAUGGUAUUUUGUUUAGGAGCAGAUUUCUCAUUCUUCACUAGAGAAAAAAAUCAACUUGCUGCUUAAUAUCCUAAUUCCAUUGUCAAUAAUCUGCUGCUUAAUUACAGUUGCGUGAUUAUAACUUGUCAUUUUGGGGGAUUUGUUUGCUUCUCAUGAAAUAGAAUGAAUUGUAACUCCACACUGCUGUUCAUUGCUUAGUUCAUUUAUUGAUGAAAGGUUAAAUCUUUACAACUUGCAUGCGUUGAGGCUAUACUGUUAUUAGUGGGAGCGAUAUUUUAAAUGUCAAUAGCGUCACUCAACUAUUUGUGUUGUUUAGGUCGUGUAGGUUCGGCUCAGUCUCGUUGUCUUCGUCCAGCUCACCACCAUCACCGACCGCUACAGACAUUAGAGGUGAGAUCUCUCACCUUCUCUUCUUCCCCUUGCUUUGGGCACGUGGGUUCGAACCACGGUUGUUUUGGUUAUGUUGUAUGGGGGCAUGUAAUAUAUGCGUAGGUAUUUAUGUGUGGGAUUUAAGUAUGCUUCUGAGAAAAAAUUAUAUCCAAUUUAAACACUGCAUGUCUACCAUGCUUGUGGCAUGGGGGUUAUUCGACGGAGUAAGACUGUCCGGGGCAGGUUUUCAAGUUAUUGGUUGCUAGUUUGCUUAGUACCAACUCUGUUCCAUGGGGAUAUUGGACAUAAAUAUGCAAAUUUGGAUUUUAAGAAUGUUUUUUUUGUAUAUCUGAUAAGUGCACACCUCUGUAACUGCUUCUCUUUGUCUGGUAUUCUAAGGCUAUUAGGCUCCUGUUUGCUUAGUCCUAAUGCAGAGCUUAGUAGCUGUUAUACACGGUUCAUUUUGUAGUGGCCUUUUAGACUGGAUAGCUGAAGAGUUCAAUAUUUAUUGUAUGCGUAUUGCCAAGGCUCUUAUGGUUUCAGGAACACAUGCUUCAUGCGUCCUUUUUCUGUUAACCCCUAGGAUAAAACACAUACGUAUGUGUUGCUUUACUCCCAUAGCUUGAGUGCAUCAUUAAACUGCAUGUAUCUGUAUUCUUCUAGUGGUCCUGAGGAUAAAUAUCAUCUUUAUUUCGCAGAUUGGUAAGCUGCAGACUACUAUAUCCAUUGGUGGCAGCAAGUUGGUUCAAACACGGGAGAGUUCAUCCGACAAAAGAGCUUCUCUCCGGUUGUAAAAGCAUUAAAUGGCAG
rnacentral:lncRNA from 1 species